AGUGAACGCUGGCGGUAGGCCUAACACAUGCAAGUCGAACGGCAGCACAGUAAGAGCUUGCUCUUACGGGUGGCGAGUGGCGGACGGGUGAGGAAUACAUCGGAAUCUACUUUUUCGUGGGGGAUAACGUAGGGAAACUUACGCUAAUACCGCAUACGACCUACGGGUGAAAGCAGGGGAUCUUCGGACCUUGCGCGAUUGAAUGAGCCGAUGUCGGAUUAGCUAGUUGGCGGGGUAAAGGCCCACCAAGGCGACGAUCCGUAGCUGGUCUGAGAGGAUGAUAAGCCACCCUGGAACUGAGACACGGUCCAGACUCCUACGGGAGGCAGCAGUGGGGAAUAUUGGACAAUGGGCGCAAGCCUGAUCCAGCCAUACCGCGUGGGUGAAGAAGGCCUUCGGGUUGUAAAGCCCUUUUGUUGGGAAAGAAAAGCAGCAGGUUAAUACCCCGCUGUUCUGACGGUACCCAAAGAAUAAGCACCGGCUAACUUCGUG
rnacentral:rRNA from 1 species